AGUGAACGCUGGCGGUAGGCCUAACACAUGCAAGUCGAACGAGUGGCGGACGGGUGAGGAAUACAUCGGAAUCUACUCUGUCGUGGGGGAUAACGUAGGGACACUUACGCUAAUAACGCAUACGAUUGAAUGAGCCGAUGUCGGAUUAGCUAGUUGGCUGGGUAAAGGCCCACCAAGGCGACGAUCCGUAGCUGGUCUGAGAGGAUGAUCAGCCACACUGGAACGGAGACACGGUCCAGACUACUACGGGAGGCAGCGGUGGGGAAUAUUGGACAAUGGGCGGAAGCCUGAUCCAGCCAUACCGCGUGGGUGAAGAAGGCCUUCGGGUUGUAAAGUAAUUUCAGCGGGGAGGCGGUACCCGAAGAAGAAGCACCGGCUAACUCCGUGCCAGCAGCCGCGGUAAUUC
rnacentral:rRNA from 1 species